rnacentral:rRNA from 1 species
UUAAGCGACUAAGCGUACACGGUGGAUGCCCUGGCAGUCAGAGGCGAUGAAGGACGUGCUAAUCUGCGAUAAGCGUCGGUAAGGUGAUAUGAACCGUUAUAACCGGCGAUUUCCGAAUGGGGAAACCCAGUGUGAUCCGUCACACUAUCAUUAACUGAAUCCAUAGGUUAAUGAGGCGAACCGGGGGAACUGAAACAUCUAAGUACCCCGAGGAAAAGAAAUCAACCGAGAUUCCCCCAGUAGCGGCGAGCGAACGGGGAGGAGCCCAGAGCCUGAAUCAGUAUGUGUGUUAGUGGAAGCGUCUGGAAAGGCGUGCGAUACAGGGUGACAGCCCCGUACACAAAAAUGCACAUGCUGUGAGCUCGAUGAGUAGGGCGGGACACGUGGUAUCCUGUCUGAAUAUGGGGGGACCAUCCUCCAAGGCUAAAUACUCCUGACUGACCGAUAGUGAACCAGUACCGUGAGGGAAAGGCGAAAAGAACCCCGGCGAGGGGAGUGAAAAAGAACCUGAAACCGUGUACGUACAAGCAGUGGGAGCCUCUUUAAUGGGGUGACUGCGUACCUUUUGUAUAAUGGGUCAGCGACUUAUAUUCUGUAGCAAGGUUAACCGAAUAGGGGAGCCGAAGGGAAACCGAGUCUUAACUGGGCGUUAAGUUGCAGGGUAUAGACCCGAAACCCGGUGAUCUAGCCAUGGGCAGGUUGAAGGUUGGGUAACACUAACUGGAGGACCGAACCGACUAAUGUUGAAAAAUUAGCGGAUGACUUGUGGCUGGGGGGGAAAGGCCAAUCAAACCGGGAGAUAGCUGGUUCUCCCCGAAAGCUAUUUAGGUAGCGCCUCGUGAAUUCAUCUCCGGGGGUAGAGCACUGUUUCGGCAAGGGGGUCAUCCCGACUUACCAACCCGAUGCAAACUGCGAAUACCGGAGAAUGUUAUCACGGGAGACACACGGCGGGUGCUAACGUCCGUCGUGAAGAGGGAAACAACCCAGACCGCCAGCUAAGGUCCCAAAGUCAUGGUUAAGUGGGAAACGAUGUGGGAAGGCCCAGACAGCCAGGAUGUUGGCUUAGAAGCAGCCAUCAUUUAAAGAAAGCGUAAUAGCUCACUGGUCGAGUCGGCCUGCGCGGAAGAUGUAACGGGGCUAAACCAUGCACCGAAGCUGCGGCAGCGACACUAUGUGUUGUUGGGUAGGGGAGCGUUCUGUAAGCCGUUGAAGGUGUGCUGUGAGGCAUGCUGGAGGUAUCAGAAGUGCGAAUGCUGACAUAAGUAACGAUAAAGCGGGUGAAAAGCCCGCUCGCCGGAAGACCAAGGGUUCCUGUCCAACGUUAAUCGGGGCAGGGUGAGUCGACCCCUAAGGCGAGGCCGAAAGGCGUAGUCGAUGGGAAACAGGUUAAUAUUCCUGUACUUGGUGUUACUGCGAAGGGGGGACGGAGAAGGCUAUGUUGGCCGGGCGACGGUUGUCCCGGUUUAAGCGUGUAGGCUGAUUUUCCAGGCAAAUCCGGAGAAUCAAGGCUGAGGCGUGAUGACGAGGCACUACGGUGCUGAAGCAACAAAUGCCCUGCUUCCAGGAAAAGCCUCUAAGCAUCAGGUAACAUCAAAUCGUACCCCAAACCGACACAGGUGGUCAGGUAGAGAAUACCAAGGCGCUUGAGAGAACUCGGGUGAAGGAACUAGGCAAAAUGGUGCCGUAACUUCGGGAGAAGGCACGCUGAUAUGUAGGUGAAGCGACUUGCUCGUGGAGCUGAAAUCAGUCGAAGAUACCAGCUGGCUGCAACUGUUUAUUAAAAACACAGCACUGUGCAAACACGAAAGUGGACGUAUACGGUGUGACGCCUGCCCGGUGCCGGAAGGUUAAUUGAUGGGGUCAGCCGCAAGGCGAAGCUCUUGAUCGAAGCCCCGGUAAACGGCGGCCGUAACUAUAACGGUCCUAAGGUAGCGAAAUUCCUUGUCGGGUAAGUUCCGACCUGCACGAAUGGCGUAAUGAUGGCCAGGCUGUCUCCACCCGAGACUCAGUGAAAUUGAACUCGCUGUGAAGAUGCAGUGUACCCGCGGCAAGACGGAAAGACCCCGUGAACCUUUACUAUAGCUUGACACUGAACAUUGAGCCUUGAUGUGUAGGAUAGGUGGGAGGCUUUGAAGUGUGGACGCCAGUCUGCAUGGAGCCGACCUUGAAAUACCACCCUUUAAUGUUUGAUGUUCUAACGUGGACCCGUGAUCCGGGUUGCGGACAGUGUCUGGUGGGUAGUUUGACUGGGGCGGUCUCCUCCUAAAGAGUAACGGAGGAGCACGAAGGUUGGCUAAUCCUGGUCGGACAUCAGGAGGUUAGUGCAAUGGCAUAAGCCAGCUUGACUGCGAGCGUGACGGCGCGAGCAGGUGCGAAAGCAGGUCAUAGUGAUCCGGUGGUUCUGAAUGGAAGGGCCAUCGCUCAACGGAUAAAAGGUACUCCGGGGAUAACAGGCUGAUACCGCCCAAGAGUUCAUAUCGACGGCGGUGUUUGGCACCUCGAUGUCGGCUCAUCACAUCCUGGGGCUGAAGUAGGUCCCAAGGGUAUGGCUGUUCGCCAUUUAAAGUGGUACGCGAGCUGGGUUUAGAACGUCGUGAGACAGUUCGGUCCCUAUCUGCCGUGGGCGCUGGAGAACUGAGGGGGGCUGCUCCUAGUACGAGAGGACCGGAGUGGACGCAUCACUGGUGUUCGGGUUGUCAUGCCAAUGGCACUGCCCGGUAGCUAAAUGCGGAAGAGAUAAGUGCUGAAAGCAUCUAAGCACGAAACUUGCCCCGAGAUGAGUUCUCCCUGAGACUUUAAGUCUCCUGAAGGAACGUUGAAGACGACGACGUUGAUAGGCCGGGUGUGUAAGCGCAGCGAUGCGUUGAGCUAACCGGUACUAAUGAACCGUGAGGCUUAACCUU